GGGACAACUCUCCACAGGAGGAAAACUACUGUGUUUCAGAGAUAGUGGAGUCUUGCAACAAAGCUGCUGGGACUCAGAAGACAGCUUGUGAACCUCUGGUGCCCACAAGGACUCAUCAGAUCAGGAUCCCAGGAGAGUCCUUGGAGGUAAAAUCACCCAGACACUCAUGCCAGCACCUCUCAUCACUGACAAGGGAAGAGAUUGAAGUUGCUGCAUAUAAGGCAAGAAAAUGGUGUCUCCAGCACUCUUGCCUCUCUGGAUUGAAUCCCAGCUCUCACAGACUUCACAGAUUCCCUCCUUACUCCGACU